rnacentral:rRNA from 1 species
CUGGGGGGUGCUACCAUGCAAGUCGAACGUGAUCCGCCCUUCGGGGUGGUGAAAGUGGCGCACGGGUGAGUAACGCGUGGAUAAUCUGCCCGAGGAUUUGGGAUAACAUCUCGAAAGGGGUGCUAAUACCGAAUAAGCCCACGGGGUCUACGGAUCUUGCGGGAAAAGGGGGGGACCUUCGGGCCUCCUGUCCUUGGAUGAGUCUGCGUACCAUUAGCUAGUUGGUGGGGUAAUGGCCUACCAAGGCGACGAUGGUUAGCUGGUCUGAGAGGAUGAUCAGCCACACUGGAACUGAGACACGGUCCAGACUCCUACGGGAGGCAGCAGUGGGGAAUUUUGCGCAAUGGGGGAAACCCUGACGCAGCAACGCCGCGUGGGUGAUGAAGGCCUUCGGGUCGUAAAGCUCUGUCUGGAGGGAAGAAAUGAUUGGGAGCUAAUACCUCUUGAUCUUGACGGUACCUCUGAAGGAAGCACCGGCUAACUCCGUGCCAGCAGCCGCGGUAAUACGGAGGGUGCAAGCGUUGUUCGGAAUUAUUGGGCGUAAAGCGCGUGUAGGCGGUCUUUUAAGUCUGAUGUGAAAGCCCCGGGCUCAACCUGGGAAGUGCAUUGGAAACUGGGAGGCUUGAGUACGGGAGAGGAGAGUGGAAUUCCUAGUGUAGGAGUGAAAUCCGUAGAUAUUAGGAGGAACACCGGUGGCGAAGGCGGCUCUCUGGACCGAUACUGACGCUGAGACGCGAAAGCGUGGGUAGCAAACAGGAUUAGAUACCCUGGUAGUCCACGCCGUAACGAUGAGUACUAAGGUGUUUGCGGGUAUUGACCC